GUGCUCGCUUCAGCAGCACAUAUACUAAAAUUGGAACGAUACAGAGAAGGUUAGCAUGGGCCCUGUGCAAGGAUGACAUGCAAAUUCAUGAAGCAUUCCACAUUAAA
ensembl:snRNA U6 U6 spliceosomal RNA